UUAGUGGUAGGAAUUGAAGGCUUGGGAUCUCUAGCGCUGGAGUGUGGAGGAGAAGGAAGAGAAACAGAGUCGUUGUUGUUGGUGGAAAGAGAGGCAUAAACGAAAGCUUUGGCGAGGCAAUGGCAGGAUAAGCAAGCCAUGUGGAAGAUACUACUUUGUUUUUCACAAAUACAAGGGAAAAAGAUGUGCUGUGGAUUCGUAAACUGAAUGCGGUUGUAAAAAUAAGAGCAAAACUGAUCAGCAUUCGUACAAAUAUUUACAUUCAACACAUUGCCUCAGGGUAACUACCCGCUGCAGAAUUUGUGGUCUCCUCAUGAAGCUAGAGUCCUCAGCAAAUGCAAUGCUUGAUUCCAUUGUGGCUUUUGUGAUAGAACAAUUUUCCUCAGAGCUGGUACCGCUCCUGCAGCUAUAAUUGCUGAAUGAUUUUCACUGUCCAUGCUCAUAUUAUAUAAGAUCGACAUUGCUGCUUCUACAGUCCUCUCGCUUCCUCCUUCUAUUAGCUUCACCAAUGGAAAUAUUCCCCCUGAGGAAGCAACAGCUGGAAUAGCAUCUACCCCCCCCUCAGAAAUUAUUCUGUUGAGUUCUACAGCUGCAGCUUCCUGCACUUCCGGAAAGAAAGUGGAUUUAAUCUGCUCUAUCAAUCUGGGAAUGGUCUCAUAAAGAGUUACUUCAGUGUUGAUGGGAUCCUCAAAUUGUAGGCUAGGACCAUAUUGUGAACUGAGUUUCACUAGGCAAGCAGCAACCCAGUUUUUGUAAUGAAGAGGGAUGUUUGAUUUCAAGAUUUUACGUAGCAAUUUAGUGAAAUGGUGGGCGUUCGCAGCGCGGGAAAACUGAUCUGAAUCUAGAAGCACGGUGAGUAAACGGGAUGCUGCAGAUAUUGCCAGACCAGUUUCUUCAACUUGAAGGGCAUAUAGUUCUGGCUGCUGAUUUUCAAUAUCAGAAUCUAAUUCUGCCAAACAUCAAAAGACACAAUAGAUUAUACAUUUGAAACAGUAUGGGCAAUUGAGAGAUUCCAAUUACAUGGAAAAAUUACCACAUGUGAGUUUAUAAACGUGCCAUACCACUCAUUACUGUUUGCUGGAAAACAGCAGCCAGACCAGAUUCAAUAUCUGACGAGAUGAUUAAGUCCAUAUUUGCAUCAUUAAGUGCCAGAAAUUCAAUGACAGUAGCCACUUUUCUUUGUAAAUUUGAGGAUGAGUGCUUCAGUAUCUCAACAAGUCGAGCAAUGACAGAGGAGUCCAGCAGAUCUUGUCUGAAACAGCUUCAAGUUGUUCAGAGGGUAAAUACAAGCUUCAUUAUCUUGAUUUAUCAUAAAAGUGCAUAAAAAUAUAAUGAAUCAGUAAUACAGUUAUUCAGCUCAAUAUAUGACCAACUUCUGGAAAAUAAAAUCCUAUAUAAACUGACCUGCUACAGACACCCUAAAAACGCUGGCUUAUAAUUUAUAUUUUUGCCUAUUUUAUAUUACUUUGGAAAGCUGGCUGCAGAUCAAUGAAAUAAUUAUAAUCAAAAGCAAAUGUGGACUUGGAAUCAAUAUAGGCAAAGUAGGCACUGGGCUCUUCAUCAAGAUGCCAAUUAUCCUAUCCCACAGCAGUGUACCAUGUGAAGCACUUCAGGAGGCUGGAACUUGUUAUGAAAUAGAACACUUGGUAAAGCAUGUCUCUUAUUAAAUCUGUUGUGAAAGCUAUUGUAUGCUGGGGUUAAAAAUGGGAGAACAAGAAGGUUAUUGUAACACACAGCGCCUUGUUAUAAUAAUACAUUUUUAGCAAGCAAGACAAACAUUGGGGUGAAUUCUCCACACAAGAAUAAGCUAAAAGUUGUUAAAUCAUGUAAAGAAUCAACCGCAGCAUGUAAUGGGGACAUUUACUCAUGUGUGAA